UUGGGGACGGAUAGAUUUGGGGCUGAGAAACAAUGUGAGAAUGUUAAGACGUAUGUAUAAAGAAGUGAGAAUCACUUUGUAUUCAUAAUUUUACAAGUGAUGGCGUUGCUUCACGUUCAACUCAUUAAUGGGUUUUUUCAGGGCCCAAAGCAGAGCCCACUGUCUCAGAGAAGAGCAAGAGCUGGCAGAUACCUCUGCUUGCAAACACAGGCCAAUCCCUCAAGAACCCAGAGGAUAAUGGAGAGUUUAUCAGUGAGUGGGGAAGUUGGUGGUGCUGGCGGGGCAUACUCAUAUAGUGCCUUGAAGAGGUUGGACCAACUUUGGUCUAGUAUUUGUUCUGCUCAAACAGUUGUGGAGGAACCAAAGCAAGUGGUUUCAAGUGUUCCUGGUUUUUUUAGCAAUUCUGAUCUGGCUGACAAAGCAGUAGAUACAUUUGAUGUGUUAAUUUGUGGUGGAACUCUGGGAAUCUUCAUAGCUACAGCCUUGUGCGCAAAAGGUCUUCGAGUAGGCAUUGUUGAGAGAAAUGUGCUCAAGGGGAGGGAACAAGAAUGGAAUAUCUCACGGAAAGAGCUCUUGGAACUUGUAGAAAUCGGAGUUCUGGUAGAAGAUGACAUUGAACUAGUCACUGCAGCUAAAUUCAAUCCUAACAGAUGCGGCUUUGAGGGCAAGGGUGAUAUCUGGGUUGAAGACAUUCUUAAUCUUGGUGUUUCACCAGCAAAGCUUAUAGAGGUUGUGAAGAAUCGUUUCAUUACUCUGGGUGGAGUCAUAUUUGAAGGCAACAGUGUGUCCAGCAUUUCCAUUUAUGAAGAUGCGGCUGUCUUACAACUCAAUGAGGGAAACAUUUUGACAUCUCGCCUCAUCAUUGAUGCAAUGGGGAAUUUCUCUCCCAUUGUAAAACAGAUAAGAUCCGGAAGGAAACCAGAUGGUGUUUGCCUUGUUGUUGGAUCCUGUGCUCGUGGAUUUAAGGAUAACUCUACAAGUGAUGUUAUAUAUACUAGUUCAUUGGUAAAGAAGGUUGGGGCCUCAAAAGCUCAAUUGUUUUGGGAGGCAUUUCCAGCUGGUUCAGGUCCUGCAGAUCGUACAACUUAUAUGUUCACUUAUCUUGCUCCUCAACCCCAAUCGCCGAAAUUGGAAGAAUUGUUAGAAGAGUAUUGGAAACUGAUGCCAGAAUAUCAGGGGGUCUCUCUUGAUGACUUGGAGAUACAGAGGGUUCUAUAUGGCAUUUUCCCUACAUAUUGUGACAGCCCGCUGCCGGCAGCUUUUAAUCGUGUUUUACAGUUUGGUGAUGCUAGUGGAAUACAAUCACCUGUUUCAUUUGGUGGUUUCGGAAGCUUGACUAGGCACCUCAAGAGACUGUCAACUGGAAUAUAUGAAGCAAUGAGCAACAACCUUCUUGAUUCGUACAGCUUGUCCCUGCUGAAUCCUUACAUGCCCAACUUAAGUGCUUCAUGGUUGUUUCAAAGAGCAAUGUCAGCAAAGCAACAGUCUAAUGUGUCACCAGAUUUUAUUAAUGAGCUUCUUUAUGCGAAUUUCCAAAGUAUGCAGAGGCUCGGCGAUCCAGUGCUAAGACCAUUUCUUCAGGCUUGGUUUCAAAUUUUUAACUAUAGAAGCAUGUAUUGUGACAGGAUGUUGUGCAGUUUGGACCUCUUGCCAAGACAUUAGGCCUUGUCAUGUUAACUAAACCUCAAAUUAUUCCAUCAAUUUUCAAGCAGGUUGGAAUUCCUGUGCUUCUUGACUGGUCUGUACAUUUUUUCAUGCUGGGAUACUAUACGUUUCUCUCAUCUUUUGCUGACCCUGUAGUAAGGCCUUUCUUAAGCACACUUCCAUCCAAGGAGAAGUAUGAGUGGAAGCGACGUCUUGAGGCUUGGAAAUAUGGCGCUGGCUUAGAUUAUAAGUCAUGAGGUAAUGGAAACAGGGAGCAGCUGCGUUUGGAUACGUACCUGGCUUCCCUCAUAAAAGUUCAAUUUGGGACGUCUCACCGGCCAGAGAGGACCUAUGGGUGUUGAACGGAGAAGAUAAUAGAAAAAGGAAUGUUAAAAAAAUAGAAAGGGAAAAAGAAACAUCAGGGGACUGAGACAAUGUAGUUGGAACCAUGCUUAUAUUCACAUCAAAUGACAGUUUCUUUGAAUAAA